rnacentral:rRNA from 1 species
UGGGGAAUAUUGCGCAAUGGGCGAAAGCCUGACGCAGCGACGCCGCGUGGAGGAUGAAGGUCUUAGGAUUGUAAACUCCUGUCAGAUGGAAAGAAAAAGUUACGUUUAAUAGACGUAAAAUAUGACGGUACCAUCAGAGGAAGCACCGGCUAACUUCGUGCCAGCAGCCGCGGUAAUACGAAGGGUGCAAACGUUAUUCGGAAUCACUGGGCGUAAAGGGUGCGUAGACGGUAUGUUAAGUUCGUUGUUAAAGGCUCCGGCCUAACUGGAGUAUUGCGAUGAAAACUGGCAUGCUAGAGGAUGAGAGAGAGAAGUGGAAUUCCUGGAGUAGCGGUAAAAUGCGUGGAUCUCAGGAGGAACACCAAUGGCGAAGGCAGCUUCUUGGCUCAUUCCUGACGUUGAGGCACGAAAGCGUGGGGAGCAAACAGGAUUAGAUACCCCGGUAGUCC